rnacentral:rRNA from 1 species
AUACGGAGGGUGCAAGCGUUGUUCGGGAUCACUGGGCGUAAAGGGCGCGCAGGCGGUUUGGUAAGUCAGAUGUGAAAGCCCACGGCUCAACCGUGGAAGUGCAUUUGAAACUGCCAGACUUGAGUACCAGAGGGGAAAGUGGAAUUCCCGGUGUAGAGGUGAAAUUCGUAGAUAUCGGGAGGAAUACCGGUGGCGAAGGCGACUUUCUGGCUGGAUACUGACGCUGAGGCGCGAAAGCGUGGGGAGCAAACAGGAUUAGAAACCCUAGUAGUCC